UAGCCGUAAACGAUACUCGCUAGGUGUCGGCCACGGUGCGACCGUUGUCGGUGCCGUAGGGAAGCCGUGAAGCGAGCCACCUGGGAAGUACGGCCGCAAGGCUGAAACUUGAAGGAAUUGGCGGGGGGAGCACAACGACGGGUGGAGCUUGCGGUUUAAUUGGAUUCAACGCCGGAAAUCUUACCGGGACCGACAGCAACAUGAAGGCCAAGCUGAAGACUUUGCCGGAUUAGCUGAGAGGAGGUGCAUGGCGUAGUCGUGU
rnacentral:rRNA from 1 species